rnacentral:rRNA from 1 species
UACGGGGGGAGCAAGCGUUGUUCGGAUUUACUGGGCGUAAAGGGCGCGUAGGCGGCCACCGCAAGUCGGUUGUGAAAUCUCUGGGCUUAACCCAGAAAGGUCAACCGAUACUGCGGGGCUAGAGUGCAGAAGGGGCAACUGGAAUUCUCGGUGUAGCGGUGAAAUGCGUAGAUAUCGGGAGGAACACCUGUGGCGAAAGCGGCGCACUGGACCACAACUGACGCUGAGGCGCGAAAGCUAGGGGAGCAAACAGG